rnacentral:rRNA from 1 species
AGAACGAACGCUGGCGGCAGGCCUAACACAUGCAAGUCGAGCGGGGGAGCAAUCCCUAGCGGCGGACGGGUUAGUAACGCGUGGGAACAUACCCUUUGGUACGGAAUAGCCUCGGGAAACUGAGAGUAAUACCGUAUGUGCCCUUCGGGGGAAAGAUUUAUCGCCAAAGGAUUGGCCCGCGUUGGAUUAGGUAGUUGGUGGGGUAAUGGCCUACCAAGCCGACGAUCCAUAGCUGGUUUGAGAGGAUGAUCAGCAACACUGGGACUGAGACACGGCCCAGACUCCUACGGGAGGCAGCAGUGGGGAAUCUUAGACAAUGGGCGAAAGCCUGAUCUAGCCAUGCCGCGUGGACGAUGAAGGCCUUAGGGUUGUAAAGUCCUUUCAGAUGGGAAGAUAAUGACGGUACCAUCAGAAGAAGCCCCGGCUAACUCCGUG